rnacentral:rRNA from 1 species
UACGUAGGGUGCAAGCGUUGUCCGGAAUUAUUGGGCGUAAAGAGCUCGUAGGCGGUCAGUCGCGUCUGCUGUGAAAACUCGGGGCUUAACUCCGGGCCUGCAGUGGGUACGGGCUGACUAGAGUGCGGUAGGGGAGACUGGAAUUCCUGGUGUAGCGGUGAAAUGCGCAGAUAUCAGGAGGAACACCGGUGGCGAAGGCGGGUCUCUGGGCAAUAACUGACGCUGAGGAGCGAAAGCGUGGGGAGCAAACAGG